rnacentral:tRNA from 1 species
GAAAUAAAAAGUUUUAAGAGAAAGCUGCUAACUUUCUUCUUUAAUGGUUAAAUUCCAUUUAUAUUUCU